ACUUUUACUUUUGCUUCGGUUUAAGUUAUAAUCAAUUUUAAUUGAAGAAAAAAAAAACAGAUUAAAAUGAAUGAAAACGAAUGAAAUUUAUCCAUAGCAAGCAAAAAUCGGUUCGCGAAAUGAAAUAAACGGAAUUUUUGCUUAUUUCCACUGGAAAUGUCUUCAAAUUACUGCAAAUGUUCAACGUUUUUGAAUGUGAAAUGACAAUAGAUACAAGGCAGAGCAGAAUUUUACCUGUGAAAUACACAAAAUGGUACAACGGAAAAUGUCCGAAAAAUGCUGUGGGUCAUCAAGUAUAUCUGCCUAAGGAUUCUCACCAUACAAAAAAAUAUGUUGGGAAAAGGAAAAUUAAUGGAAAAAGGGUUCACAUUUACCAAAAAAAGACAAAACCGAUCGUCAUUCAACAGUGAAUUCUUCAAGCUCAACCAAUUGUUGCACUUCAAACGACACCACCAUCGGUAAUGACCUAGAACAAAUAAACUGAGAUUGUGAUCGUAAAAAUCCAUAGGUGUGUGAAAGAUAUGUGAUUUUGGUUAGCAUGACCAUUUAGCGAUUUGAAUAGAGCAACAUCUUCGAUGUUUGAAUUCCAGCCGAUGUAAUCGUUGCGAUUUUGCUGCUCCAGCCAGGCUUUCAAUGGGUUGAAAAAUGUAAUCAAUGGUUCAGCUGAAAGUCGAUUCAUUUUGCCCCGUGUCAAUAUCUUCAACAACUGUGAUGGUGACAGGGAAGCGCCGUGUUGCAUCACCUCACUGCCAAAAUGAACAGAAAAAAAUUCAGAUGAUGAAAAAUUAAGAAAUUAUUUGAAAAUCAAAAUAUGAAAAUUCUGAAAAUACUGAAAAUACGAAAAAAAGGAAAUUGAUUCGAGUAAUUGUUCACCUUAAAAUGCGUCCAGCCUCCCUGGAUCGAUAGAAAUCGCAUGUGUGCAAUGGUCCCGAGUGAUUGAUUGUUUCGCACAAUUCGGCGUAAAUUUGAAAUUGCAAAAUUGUCCCCACAAAAUAUUUGAUAUAAUCUUGAUCGGCAAUGAUGUGAUAUUUUGAGCCCGCAUCAAAAUCAUCCGUGUGACGUGCAUUGGGCGGAACAACACCUUGAUACCGUAAUCGAAGAUCCCACCAUCUCGAAUUCAUACCUACGGGCCCCUUUUCGAAGACGAGCCAUCGCCAUUUCUCAACCGCCAAACUGAAUGCCAAAAACGGUAGUUUUUCCAGAGCUAAUGCCAACAAAUACUCAAUGUUAAUCACGGAAUUUCCAUUGGCCGUUUGAAUCGGCGUUGACAACAGACCAAUUCGCUGCAAAUGAACAGGACCACCAACCGAUAAUCCAAUUGCAUGAGCUUAAAUGAACAAUUGAAUGAAACAAAUAUGGAUUAGAAAUUGAACCAAAUUUGUUAAAUUUGUAAUGAAAAUUUUGAAAAAGGAAAAAUUUUAUUACAAUUUUUUUUAACAAAAAUGGAAAGUAAAAUACUAAACAAUCGAGGAAUUUUUUUUUGAAGAGAAUAAAAUUUUAAAAUUUGACUUUUCAAUCAUUACAAUGAGGAAUUUUAAUUUUGAGUUUGUAUGUUUAAUGAAAAAAAAAAAAUUCCUUACCAAUUGCUUCAUGAAAUGAUGGAUUAGGUCCGUCUCGAUAAACAAACGGUUGAUUUGCGUAGAGCAUGUAAUAUUGAACGUGAGAGAUUUGAUAGUGUGCACUAAGAAAAUCCUCCAAAGUGAUUUGUGUGCAUUGUUUGAUGCGAAAAUCGAAAUUAUUGCAAAAAUCCCAUGCGGAAGCGGUGCAUUUGGGUGAAGUGUCAACAUUCGAUUGUUGUAAAAUGGAAUUGCGCCAGAAUUCCGGUGACAUUGGUGCCAUUCCGAGUGAUGUGAAAAAUUCUUCGGCUUUUUGAAAUAUGCGUAGCGGUGUGUAGCCCUGUCGUACCAUUUCGGCGGUGACGUCGGGUGUUUCGGAGUAUCGAUGUUUCACAAUAUCCAUGAUAUUCUUCCAGUUUUGUGCCCACAUAUUACCAAACAAAUGAGCUGGAAUUGGGCCAUCGUGUCUUAUCACCUUAUCACCAUACUGACGAAUCAAUCCCUUCCGUACGAACGUGUACAACUGUCGAUAAAGUGGUUGAAUUUCCGUCCACAAAUCCUGCACAGUGAAAUACAUUUCUGGGUCUUCGUAAAGUGCACGCAUUUGUUCGCCCGCAUCAGAGAAACCAUGGGCAAUGGCCGCUUGAUUGGCUACAUCAAUGUAACGCAUAAAAUUAUUGCGAUUUGGUGGUCCAGUUUUCUCGUGCCAUGCCGACCAAAUGUACUUUAAUUCGGCCUCAUUUCGACUGUGCUCCAUGAUAUGCGGUAUAUCAGUAUCAAUGCUGAGAUCACAAUAGCCCGUAUAAGUAUGCGUCACGUAAUUCUCCGAAUCGGUCGAGAUGAUGGAUUCAUUUGGAUGCUUUAUCGGUAGCACACCAAUAUUUUCGUUCAUUUGUGUCGAUUGAUUCACCACUUCGCUCUGCGUACCACGAUACGGACAAACGCGCGCAUGUUUGAAAUUGUCUUUCAUUUGCUGUAUCAAAUUACUGAUUUCGGCGUACUUGUCUUCGGUGAGGCCACAUUUGCCCUGCUUAAUGAUUCGUUGUAAUUGUCUCUUGACAUUUGUAUUUGAAACGGGAUAGUUUAAAAAUGAUAUUGCUCGUCUCCAGCUCAAGCACUCGAAUUUCGUUGCAACCGAUUGCUGCUCCUUCACUCGUCGCUUAUUGUAUUCGCUGGCAUUGGUCGCAUACUUCCAUUCAUUAUUUGCCACUCGAUUGCACAUUUCGGCUGCCUCAAUGUUGAAUUCCUUCAGAAAAUUCAGCACAUCGUCUAUAUUUUCCACCGGAGGCUGUGAUGGAGUGUACAUCUACGGAAAGAAAAAAAUCAAAUUGAGUGAAAGCGAAAUGAGAUUUCCCCCCAAAAUAACAUUGUCAACCGUUCAAUUACUUGAAUCCAAUCGCGCAUAAAAUAACCGUUUGUGAUAAACUCAAGCGGAAAUUGAGCAACCGAAACAAAACAACGAGCGAUUGAUUCAUUUCAAGAAGUUUUGAGUUGAUGUCGACACCGUCGUUCGAUGUCAAUGACAUGCGAAUCUUAAUAAGCGGUUUGAUCUCUUUUAAGCAUCUUUGCGAGCCGAAUUUUGGUUGAUUUUUUGUCAUUUGUCGGUUAUUCGAUUUCAUGGCGAUAGCGAAACAGUCGAAAAUAUGGAACAUGCCAUUAUUUCGAAAUGAACAUACGCAACUAACAGCAACCCGAAAAAAAAAACAUUUACAUCAACCGAAAUUGAACUUUAUUUGCCUCCUACGCCAUGGAAAUGCAUCCAUGUGGAACUAUUUUCUUUUCUUUAUUUCGGUUAAUGUUCCGAAUUCAUUCGGUGUGUGUGCUUUUUUUUAGCACUACAUGAAAUGUAGAGCUAUAAAUCUUUUUUUUUUUUCCUAGAUACUUUUUGAGUGUUGAAACAAAUUAUGUAUGGUGAAUUUGAAUUUUAUGCACAUAUUUUUUAUUUAAUUUAAAACAGUGGCAGUAACGACAAAUAAGUGCAUAAUAUCUCAAAGCGCCAAUCAAAUUUUUAUUAUUAUCAAAUGUUGUUUAAAAAUUACAUUAAUUUUUCGUAUAAUAUUUUCUGAGUCUGGCCCAAAAUUAAAGUGAUUUUAGAUUCUAUGCUCAUAUUAUUUAUUUAAUUUAAACCAAAGGCAGUAUAUUUCAAAAAAGAAAUUAAACCAAGAUCUUGUAAUUCAUUUUGCAAAUAAAUAUAUAAAUCCAAAGUUA